GUGAGGAGCGUCUCCGCCCAGCAGCCACCCCGUCCGGGAGAGAGGCAGGGGCUUGACAUCUCCUUGUGAAACUAGCUAGCCAAGUUCCAGAAAUGGGAUGGAGGGUCUGGCCCACCCCUUUGUAGCACAGUCCUGGAGAUGACAGCAGCCUUCCUGGGUGCGGGGCAAGCAAUCUCAUCUGCCUGUCUGCAGUGGAGCAGUUUGAGCAGCUCCCCAGCCUGGUGCCACACAACAGCAUCAUGCCCACGAGGUCUUAUUCCAGGUGAGCCUCACAUACCAUGUUGUCAAAGGUGCCUGCUGGGCCUUCCAGGGGUGCUGCAAUUUCUCUCUGUGCCCAUUUAGUGCAGGUGUCAGAGCAUCUGCAGCUGGAUCUAGGUGCCAGUGCUAUUCUGAGGCUCCCGGGAACCUCUUAAUGUUGUAGACACUGCUCACUGUGUUUCCAGGGACCAAAUAAAUUGGUAAAAUGGCACAAGCUGGCCAUGUGUGAAAUGGAGAGGGAACGGGUCAAUUGGAAAACUUACAAAACUUCUAAGAAGGCCAGGCACGGUGGCUCAUGCCUGUAAUCCCAG
rnacentral:lncRNA from 1 species